rfam:Streptomyces gancidicus BKS 13-15 Contig00122, whole genome shotgun sequence.
CGUCGGCGAUCUGCGGGCAGAUGAAGUGCACGUGCGCGUCGAUCGCCCCGGCGGUCAGGAUCCGCCCGUUGCCCGCGACGACCUCGGUCUCGGGGCCGAUCACCAGGUCCGGGUGGACCCCGUCCAUGGUGUCGGGGUUGCCGGCCUUCCCGAUGCCGGUGAUCCGGCCGUCGCGGAUGCCGACGUCGGCCUUGACCACGCCCCAGUGGUCGACGACGACCGCCCCGGUGAUCACCGUGUCGGGGGCACCGUCGGCGCGGGUGGCGGUGGCCUGGCCCAUCGACUCGCGGAUG